GCCCACAUCAGUGGAUGAAUAACAAAACCACUUUGUAAAAGCCAUUUAGGGUCAGGAUACAUCCAGUUUAGUGGCCCUGUUGUAGAUGUUCCCUGUGUUGUUGGGAAGGAGGGCUGGGAAUUGAUGCAAAGAAAUAGCCCUUAGAACUUGGAAGGUAAAGUUUAGGGUGAGUCUCUGUGAGCCCUCUGACACCGCAUGCAGUCCUUUUUCUUUUGUUAUAGUCUUCAAACGAGUCAAUAUUCCAAUGAAGGUUUAGAGCCAGUGUGUUAGAGUGACCAGGCCUUCAGACAGCCUAUCCCCUCCUGUGGGGGCUGCUGUAUAUUUAUUCCUCAGGAGAAGCUGGUAGAAGACUUCAUGAAGGAGAAGAAAAGGAAAAAAAUCAAAGGAUGACUACAGCCUCUCUUCAUCUCAGCUUUGCAAAGCAUGACUCAACAGAGAGAUCACAUUCUUGAAGACUCUCCAGACCACAGCCACCACAGACACUAACCACAGCCAGCAACUGGACCUCAGCCCUGGGAUUUACUCUUGAUGUCUCAACUGAUUAUGAAAUCAGUAGGAGAGCUUGUAUCCCUUUCUAACUUGCUCAUCAGAGAUUUUAAGAUUUGCAUACAUGUGGUAUGUAAGGACACAAAUCUUAGGGGUUAAUAGUAAACUGUCAGGAGUCCUGGUUACUUUUUGUCUCUUGGAAAUGGGAAAGAUAGGGUAUGGGAAAAGUGGAAAGUCUUAUACCUUUCAGAUAUUCUCAGUGAUUGCUCAGGACACCCAUAAUCACAUCUUCUGAUGCCUUAUCUUAUAUCAUGCCUCUCCUUUCUUC
rnacentral:lncRNA from 1 species